GACGUAGGGCGCGAGCGUUGUCCGGAUUUAUUGGGCGUAAAGAGCGUGUAGGCGGCCAGACAGGUCCGUUGUGAAAACUCGAGCUCAACCUCGAGACGCCGAUGGAAACCGUUUGGCUAGAGUCCGGAAGAGGAGAGUGGAAUUCCUGGUGUAGCGGUGAAAUGCGCAGAUAUCAGGAAGAACACCCGUGGCUAAGGCGGCUCUCUAGUACGGUACUGACGCUGAGACGCGAAAGCGUGGGGAGCGAACAGG
rnacentral:rRNA from 1 species